UGUGUUAAGAGGAGAAGCAGGGCUGUAGGCUUCUUACAAGAUGCUGACCAAACGUUAAUGAGCAUUCAAGAGUGCUGAGGCAGGGCAAUCUUGCGUUCUUCAGACUGCCUGCCACACCAGUCCACUACGUGGAGGUCAAGAAAGUGGAGUUCUAACAUGACACUUCGCUGCAAAGGUCCUGAUACCCUGACAUCUAACUCCACACAAGUCAGCCUAACUGAAACGAGAACAGCCACACUACAGAAUGAGGG